rnacentral:rRNA from 1 species
UACGAAGGGUGCAAGCGUUAAUCGGAAUUACUGGGCGUAAAGCGUGCGCAGGCGGCUUUGUAAGACAGAUGUGAAAUCCCCGGGCUCAACCUGGGAACUGCAUUUGUGACUGCAAGGCUAGAGUACGGCAGAGGGGGAUGGAAUUCCGCGUGUAGCAGUGAAAUGCGUAGAUAUGCGGAGGAACACCAAUGGCGAAGGCAAUCCCCUGGGCCUGUACUGACGCUCAUGCACGAAAGCGUGGGGAGCAAACAGG